GCCGACUCAAAUUCAAAGCAUUUUGUAUAUAUAACUGUUUUCUUUUUUUGCUUUUCUGCUGCAUGUCUUUUUCGUGGGGGGUGAUCCUCUGCAGAUCCCCCCAUUUGCGGACCCGCCAUGUGGAGGAGGCAUUUGGGGGGCUCAGAAGGAAAUUAGCUCGGCUUCCAUACCUAUAAGGACUGCCUAACUUUUAAACUCCCGGCACUCAAAGAUGUGGACACACACACGUACAGGAAAUACAGCCAGACCAGAGCCUUUGCAGUCCGCAGCUGACCGGAAGACGUUGCCUUUCAUUCAUUCAUUCUGCCCGCCUCUGUGGACUCCUUUACUAGGCGACCAGCCCUGAAACAGAAGUUGGACAUUUUUUAAAGGUUCUUGCGCUCGGCAAGGGGAGCAGAUAGAUGCUCAGGAGCGAAAGACGCAGAGAAUUGGAUCUGGCGCCUCCUAACGCAGCCCGCACAGGAGCGAAGGGGAGUGUGACGAUCCCCCUGAUGCGGCUGAGAUGUUCUGAAAUGAAGACGUUGGCUCUCAUCCCCAGCCUGAACGGCGGCUGUGGCUAAUUAUUAGGCACUGGGUAGGAACACAGCCAAGAACGAUUGCAGGAUGGGUCCUUCCAGGACACUGACGUCUCAGCUUGCGCACUGUGAGUCCCUGGACGAGUUACUCCACCUCUCUGAACCUCCUCCUCACUUGCAUAAUGGGAAAAAUAAUGGACAUAGGAAGAUGAAACAAGACCUUGGAGACCACAUUUACCAUCUUAUUU
rnacentral:lncRNA from 1 species